GCUUGCUUCGACAGUACAUAUACUAAAAUUGGAAUGAUACGGAGCUCCUGUGCAAGGAUGACACACAAAUUCAUGAAGCGUUCCAUAUUUUU
rnacentral:snRNA from 1 species